rfam:Stegodyphus mimosarum contig104207, whole genome shotgun sequence.
GCCUUCGUGGGGUAAUGGUCAGCACGCUCGACGCGUAUUCGAAAGGUCCGAGGUUCGAGUCCCGGCGAGGACA